rnacentral:lncRNA from 1 species
GCCCGAUCUUCCGAAAGGUUCUGGUAACUAUCGAUUUGGUGGAAACGACACACAAAUCAAUCCAGCUUGCGAACAACACGGUUCGAAACCCUGCAAUUCUUUUUUUUUUGAUAUUUUCUUUUACUUAGGAGCACUCAAGAAGUAACCAUAGGAAAUUUGAGCUUAAACAAGUGAAAGACGUGGCCUGUGGAAUUUUUUGAAGAUUGCGAAAAAUAUAAAAAAAACUUUAGGAGGUGAAAACUCAAAUUUUAGGGGCGAAUUUGGAGAUUAUAAAAUUAUCGAACCCGCCUCUAGCGGAGAUAGACAGAUCCAAAAAUUUGUUUUGAUCAAUUUUGAUAUAUGGAACGUCAAAAUUGGAGUUCGUAUGCGAAAGUUAUGACUGUUUUACGAACGGACUCCGAAUUAGAGGACAAAACGGUCCGGAAGUGAGAAAAAUUUGCGGUGGUGGCUAGAAAUUGAUGGAAACGGUGGGAAAAAAACAUAAACUGGACUCUAACAAGACCAAAUCAGUAACAAGACCUCGACCAGGACACAAACUCAACACUACGGACUCUGAAACUGAAAUAUGCAAAGGUUAUGACGCGGAUGGGUUGUAGGACAUGAAAACAAUUUGGCACUAGACUUAUGGGACGAACACAAGGACACUCGAAACUAAGGGUACAUGUGAACCUAACUGUACGUCUGAAGCUUUGGUUACCACUUGAGAACAAGGCCCGAUCUUCCGAAAGGUUCUGGUAACUAUCAAUUUGGUGGAAACGAGACACAAAUCAUUCCAAUUUGCGAACAACACGAUUCGAAACCCUGCAAUUCUUUUUAUAUUUUUUGAUAUUUUUCUUUUACUUAGGAGCACUCAAGAAGUAACCACAGGAAAUUUGAGCUUAAACAAGUGAAGUACGUGGGCUGUGGAAUUUUUUGAGGAUUGCGAAAAAUAUGAAAAUAAUGUUUAGGAGGUGAAAACUCAAAAAUUCAGAGGUGAGUUUGGGAAUUGUAAAUUUGUUGCACCGCCUAUGGCGGGGAUAGACAGAUCCAAAAAUUUUAUCUGAUUGAUUUUGAUAUAUGGAACGUCAAAAUCGGAGUUCAUAUGCGAAAGUUAUGGCUGUUUUACGAACGGACUCCGAAUUAGAGGACAAAACGGUCUGGAAGUGGGAAAAAUUUGCGGUGGUGGCUAGAAAUUGAUGGAAACGGUGGGAAAAAACACACAAACUGGACUCUAACAAGACCAAAUCGGUAUCAAGACCUCGACCACGACACAAACUCAACACUACGGACUCUGAAACUGAAAUAUGCAAAGGUUAUGACGCGGAUGGGUUGUAGGACAUGAAAACAAUUUGGCACUAGACUUAUGGGACGAACACAAGGACACUCGAAACUAAGGGUACAUGUGAACCUAACUAUACGUCUGAAGCUUUGAUUACCACUUGAGGAGAACAAGGCCCGAUCUUCCGAAAGGUUCUGGUAACUAUCAAUUUGGUGGAAACGAAACACAAAACAUUCCAGUUUGCGAACAACACGAUUCGAAACCCUGCAAUUCUUUUUAUAUUUUUUGAUAUUUUUCUUUUCCUUAGGAGCACUCAAGAAGUAACCACAGGAAAUUUGAGCUUAAACAAGUGAAGUACGUGACCUGUGGAAUUUUUUGAAGAUUGCGAAAAAUAUAAAAAUAAAGUUUAGGAGGUGAAAACUCAAAAUUUCAGAGGCGAAUUUGGGGAUUCUAAAUUUAUCGAACCCGCCCAGGGCGGGGAUAGACAGACCCAAAAUUUUUUUCUAAUUGAUUUUGAUAUAUGGAAUGAUAAAAUCGGAGUUCGUAGGCGAAAGUUAUGGCUGUUUUACAAACGGACUCCGAAUUAGAGGACAAAACGGUCCGGAAGUGGGAAAAAUUUGCGGUGGUGGCUAGAAAUUGAUGGAAACGGUGGGAAAAAACACACAAACUGGACUCGAACAAGACCUAACCAGUAACAAGACCUCAACCAGGACACAAACUCAAAACUACGGAUUCUGAAACUGAAAUAUGCAAAGGCUAUGGCGCGGAUGGGUUGUAGGACAUGAAAACAAUAUGACACUAGACUUAUGAGACGAACACAAGGACACUCGAAACUAAGGGUAGAUGUGAACCUAACGGUAUGUGUGAUGCUUUGAUUACCACUUGAGGAGAACAAGUCUGGCCCGAUCUUCCGAAAGGUUCUGGUAACUAUCGAUUUGGUGGAAACGACACACAAAUCAAUCCAGCUUGCGAACAACACGGUUCGAAACCCUGCAAUUCUUUUUAUUUUUUUUUUGAUAUUUUUCUUUUACUUAGGAGCACUCAAGAAGUAACCACAAGAAAUUUGAGCUUAAACAAGUGAAAGACGUGGCCUGUGGAAUUUUUUGAAGAUUGUGAAAAAUAUAAAAAAACUUUAGGAGGUGAAAACUCGAAGUUCAGGGGCGAAGUUUGGGAUUCUAAAAUUAUCGAACCCGCCUCUAGCAGAGAUAAACAGAUCCAAAAAUUUGUUCUGAUCGAUUUUGAUAUAUGGAACGUCCAAAUCGGAGUUCGUAUGCGAAAGUUAUGCCUGUUUUACGAACGGACUCCGAAUUAGAGGACAAAACGGUCCGGAAGUGGGAAUAAUUUGCGAUGGUGGCUAGAAAUUGACGGAAACGGUGGGAAAAACACACAAACUGGACUCUAACAAGACCAAAUUGGUAACAAGACCUCGACCACGAUACAAACUCAACACUACGA